CUUGCUUCUCUUGAGAGCGGCGGACGGGUGAGUAAUGCCUAGGAAUCUGCCUGGUAGUGGGGGAUAACGUUCGGAAACGGACGCUAAUACCGCAUACGUCCUACGGGAGAAAGCAGGGGACCUUCGGGCCUUGCGCUAUCAGAUGAGCCUAGGUCGGAUUAGCUAGUUGGUGGGGUAAUGGCUCACCAAGGCUACGAUCCGUAACUGGUCUGAGAGGAUGAUCAGUCACACUGGAACUGAGACACGGUCCAGACUCCUACGGGAGGCAGCAGUGGGGAAUAUUGGACAAUGGGCGAAAGCCUGAUCCAGCCAUGCCGCGUGUGUGAAGAAGGUCUUCGGAUUGUAAAGCACUUUAAGUUGGGAGGAAGGGUUGUAGAUUAAUACUCUGCAAUUUUGACGUUACCGACAGAAUAAGCACCGGCUAACUCUGUGCCAGCAGCCGCGGUAAUACAGAGGGUGCAAGCGUUAAUCGGAAUUACUGGGCGUAAAGCGCGCGUAGGUGGUUUGUUAAGUUGGAUGUGAAAUCCCCGGGCUCAACCUGGGAACUGCAUUCAAAACUGACUGACUAGAGUAUGGUAGAGGGUGGUGGAAUUUCCUGUGUAGCGGGUGAAAUGCGUAGAUAUAGGAAAGGAAACACCA
rnacentral:rRNA from 1 species